rnacentral:rRNA from 1 species
CCUACGGGAGGCAGCAGUGGGGAAUAUUGGACAAUGGGCGAAAGCCUGAUCCAGCCAUGCCGCGUAUGUGAAGAAGGUCUUCGGAUUGUAAAGCACUUUAAGUUGGGAGGAAGGGCAUUAACCUAAUACGUUAGUGUCUUGACGUUACCGACAGAAUAAGCACCGGCUAACUCUGUGCCAGCAGCCGCGGUAAU